CGUUAUGGUGGCUGUGCGCAGGGCAUCUUCGGGUGCGCCGGUUUCUCCUAUUGUCCGGUCGACUAACCUGCUGCACAGCCGCCACCCUU
rnacentral:antisense_RNA from 1 species